rnacentral:lncRNA from 1 species
GCCCAGGAAGACACAAUAGGCCCAGUUCUUCACACUGCUGGAAACCAGGACUUUGGGAGUUUAGUGCUCAGCUCCUGAGGACCAGGGGUCACCAGCCCCACCCCAGGGGCACCAGCUCCUCCACUAGGGGCUGGCGCAUCCUCCCGCCCCUUGGAGGACUUUGGCCUUCUGACUUGGGCCCACAUCCAGGCAGGCAGGCCACUGUGUAGGCCUAACUGGCCCCCUAUCCUCAGCUGCGAUGCAGGAGCAACGGUACCACACUGGAGACUGGGCCUGGUUUGCAUAGUCUGCACGUUUAAUCACUUUAAAACCUCUAACAUUAUCUCAUGUCCAUUAAAUAGAACCAGCAAUGCUGGGCCUGUUUAAAUUACAAGAAAAAAAUCACUGUGCACCAACCCAGCAUCUUACAAAACCAGCCGGGCUGGCCACGAGGGCAGGGGGAUGGGAGAGGAGGGGGCACGUCAGAAGAGGAGGUUUGAG